GAUGAACGCUGGCGGCGUGCCUAAUACAUGCAAGUCGAGCGAACGGACGAGAAGCUUGCUUCUCUGAUGUUAGCGGCGGGCGGGUGAGUAACACGUGGAUAACCUACCUAUAAGACUGGGAUAACUUCGGGAAACCGGAGCUAAUACCGGAUAAUAUUUUGAACCGCAUGGUUCAAAAGUGAAAGACGGUCUUGCUGUCACUUAUAGAUGGAUCCGCGCUGCAUUAGCUAGUUGGUAAGGUAACGGCUUACCAAGGCAACGAUGCAUAGCCGACCUGAGAGGGUGAUCGGCCACACUGGAACUGAGGCACGGUCCAGACUCCUACGGGAGGCAGCAGUAGGGAAUCUUCCGCAAUGGGCGAAAGCCUGACGGAGCAACGCCGCGUGAGUGAUGAAGGUCUUCGGAUCGUAAAACUCUGUUAUUAGGGAAGAACAUAUGUGUAAGUAACUGUGCACAUCUUGACGGUACCUAAUCAGAAAGCCACGGCUAACUACGUG
rnacentral:rRNA from 1 species